rnacentral:rRNA from 1 species
GACGAACGCUGGCGGCGUGCCUAAUACAUGCAAGUCGAACGCAGUGGGGACGGGUGAGUAACACGUGGGUAACCUCCCAUCAGAGGGGAUAACACUUGGAAACAGGUGCUAAACCGAUACUGAUGGAUGGACCCGCGGUGCAUUAGCUAGUUGGUGAGGUAACGGCUCACCAAGGCCACGAUGCAUAGCCGACCGUAUAGGGUGGUCAUGCACACUGUGAUUAAGACACGGCCCAGACGCCUACGGGAGGCGGCAUUAGGGAAUAUUCGGCAAUGGACGAAAGUCUGACCGGGCAACGCCGCGUGAUGAAAGCAGGUUUGCGGAUCGUAAAACACUGUUGUUAGGGAAGCGGUAUCUAGCCAGGUAGCCACGGCUAACUACGUGCCAGCAGCCGCGGUAAUAC